UCUCUCGUGACCUCCCUCUUCCUCCUGACCUCUUCAACACCGUCUACUCCAUCUAUUCCAAUACCCAAAAUGCCGAGAAUGGUAUUCUUGACGGCGCGGUUCACGAUGAGAUCGAAUUGCGGGAUGACGCUGCGGAUCCUGCGGGCGGAGAUUUGAUUACUGACCUUGAGGAUGCACUAUCAAAGCAACGGCCUAAUUGCAUGUCAGGUUUUGUACUGGGGGAAUCAAGGGAAAAACGAUAUCAAGGCCAUAUUCUCCAUCGGUUACAUGAACUUGAAGAACUGCCUUCAACCAGAGGGGAGGACCUGCAU
rnacentral:misc_RNA from 1 species